GAUGAACGCUGGCGGCGUGCUUAACACAUGCAAGUCGAACGGAAAGGCCCAAGCUUGCUUGGGUACUCGAGUGGCGAACGGGUGAGUAACACGUGGGUGAUCUGCCCUGCACUUCGGGAUAAGCCUGGGAAACUGGGUCUAAUACCGGAUAGGACCACUUCUUGGAUGUUGUGGUUGAAAGUUUUUUCGGUGUGGGAUGAGCUCGCGGCCUAUCAGCUUGUUGGUGGGGUAAUGGCCUACCAAGGCGUCGACGGGUAGCCGGCCUGAGAGGGUGUACGGCCACAUUGGGACUGAGAUACGGCCCAGACUCCUACGGGAGGCAGCAGUGGGGAAUAUUGCACAAUGGGCGCAAGCCUGAUGCAGCGACGCCGCGUGGGGGAUGACGGCCUUCGGGUUGUAAACUCCUUUCGCUAGGGACGAAGCGUUUUGUGACGGUACCUGGAGAAGAAGCACCGGCUAACUACGUG
rnacentral:rRNA from 1 species